rnacentral:rRNA from 1 species
AGUCGAGCGGACAGAUGGGAGCUUGCUCCCUGAUGUUAGCGGCGGACGGGUGAGUAACACGUGGGUAACCUGCCUGUAAGACUGGGAUAACUCCGGGAAACCGGGGCUAAUACCGGAUGGUUGUUUGAACCGCAUGGUUCAGACAUAAAAGGUGGCUUCGGCUACCACUUACAGAUGGACCCGCGGCGCAUUAGCUAGUUGGUGAGGUAACGGCUCACCAAGGCAACGAUGCGUAGCCGACCUGAGAGGGUGAUCGGCCACACUGGGACUGAGACACGGCCCAGACUCCUACGGGAGGCAGCAGUAGGGAAUCUUCCGCAAUGGACGAAAGUCUGACGGAGCAACGCCGCGUGAGUGAUGAAGGUUUUCGGAUCGUAAAGCUCUGUUGUUAGGGAAGAACAAGUGCCGUUCAAAUAGGGCGGCACCUUGACGGUACCUAACCAGAAAGCCACGGCUAACUACGUGCCAGCAGCCGCGGUAAUACGUAGGUGGCAAGCGUUGUCCGGAAUUAUUGGGCGUAAAGGGCUCGCAGGCGGUUUCUUAAGUCUGAUGUGAAAGCCCCCGGCUCAACCGGGGAGGGUCAUUGGAAACUGGGGAACUUGAGUGCAGAAGAGGAGAGUGGAAUUCCACGUGUAGCGGUGAAAUGCGUAGAGAUGUGGAGGAACACCAGUGGCGAAGGCGACUCUCUGGUCUGUAACUGACGCUGAGGAGCGAAAGCGUGGGGAGCGAACAGGAUUAGAUACCCUGGUAGUCCACGCCGUAAACGAUGAGUGCUAAGUGUUAGGGGGUUUCCGCCCCUUAGUGCUGCAGCUAACGCAUUAAGCACUCCGCCUGGGGAGUACGGUCGCAAGACUGAAACUCAAAGGAAUUGACGGGGGCC